AGGAAGAGAGCAGCAGUGAAAAGAAAAAGCAAUUUGUUGUGUGCUUUUAAGGAAAUAUAAUUUCAGAGGGGAUUGAUGAAAAUAGCAUGCAGUUUUAUGUGCAUUUACUGUAAGAGUGUUUUGAUAUUUUGCUGUUUUGCAUGCAGGUGGAGUCAGACAUAUGGAGAAGGAGGUCAUUUCUCUGUUUGGAUCCAGGUGUCAGAGGCUACCAGUGAUGCCACCUGCAUUCACACUGUUGAUAAAAGAGCAAACAAGGCAUACCUGCCUCUUCUGGUGGCAGCUCUCUUACUUGCCAUAAUCACUGUCUUAUUCAUUUUGGCACCCUUCAUCUCCAGGAGGUGCUGUACAUCAGAAUUUAUUAAGACCAUUUGCUGCCAAGGCCCACAGUGCUCAGUGGAUAAUGGCGGCACGGUGGUGCAGUGGUUAGCACUGUCGCUUCAUACCCAGAGGGUUCCA